rnacentral:rRNA from 1 species
GAUGAACGCUGGCGGCGUGCCUAAUACAUGCAAGUCGAGCGAACAGACGAGGAGCUUGCUCCUCUGACGUUAGCGGCGGACGGGCGAGUAACACGUGGAUAACCUACCUAUAAUACUGGGAUAAUAUCGGGAAACCGGAGCUGAUACCGGAUAAUAUAUUGAACCGCAGGGAUCAAUAGUGAAUGACGCUUUGGGCGUCACUUAGAGCUGGUUCCGCGCCGCAUUAGCUAGUUGGUAAGGUAACGGCUUACCAAGGCAACGAUGCGUAGCCGACCUGAGAGGGUGAUCAGCCACACUGGAACUGAGACACGGUCCAGACUCCUACGGGAGGCAGCAGUAGGGAAUCUUGCACAAUGGGCGCAAGCCUGACGGAGCCACGCCGCGUGAGUGAUGAAGGUCUUCGGGUCGUAAAGCUCUGUUAUUAGGGAAGAACAACUGUGUGAGUAACCAUGCACGUCUUGACGGUACCUAAUCAGAAAGCCCCGGCUAACUUCGUG